GAAAUGCGAUAAGUAAUGCGAAUUGCAGAAUUUCCGUGAGUCAUCGAAUCUUUGAACGCACAUUGCGCCCACUGGUAUUCCGGUGGGCAUGCCUGUUCGAGCGUCAUUUCAACCCUCAAGCACUGCUUGGUGUUGGGCGUUUGUCCCGCCUACGCGCGUGGACUCGCCUCAAAGUCAUUGGCAGCUGUUCCCCGUCGGCUCGUAAGCGCAGCACAGUCGGCGCCCGGAGCUCUGGUGGGAUGGCGUCCAGCAAGCUAUAUUUUCAGGCUUGACCUCGGAUCAGGUAGGGAUACCCGCUGAACUUAAGC
rnacentral:misc_RNA from 1 species